UCGUAUAUGCAUCUGCAGGUAGCACCAAAGCUCUUUGAAAAGCUGAAAUGAUAUUGGGGCGCUACUUUCAGUGAGUGAGCCUGGUCAUUGGCCAGAACUUUGUUCAAGUUGAAAUAUUUGACGAGUCUGCAAAUUGUCCUGUGACUGUGUUUCGAUUUCAUGAACUUGUAAUAAGAGCAACUAUCUUGACACUGUUUGCAACCAUUGAUUUAUGUUUGGCUAAGCACUGAUGACAACUAUAACAAUUUGAUGUCUGUCGAUACAGUUCUGGUACUGAACAUUUUUCUCGUCGAGAUCAUAUCCAACACAAAUAGACAAGAUUUCAACAACACAUAGCUAAACUGUGCAGGCACCAUGUUAUGACCCAUGAAUUGGAGGUGAUUUCUGGCUAUAAAAAACAUUUGAGGAAUAUAUGUUCUCUAAAUGUUUGAAUCAAAUAUUUGCUUGAAAAUUACAUGAAAAGAAACAACACUUUGUGAUCAUUCCACUUCUUUAUUUGUUAUCUAUACUCCCUCUGUGCUGAAAUAUAAUACAACAACAACAACAACAAAGCCUUUGAUCCCAAACAAGUUGGGGUAGGCUAGAGGUGAAACGGCCCUGCUAUACAUACGACACAUUUGCAUCGGAUGACUGUAUGAUCAUAUGUGGCAGCGCUGCAGCGAGUGUGCAUGCACGAUGGGUUUGGGUUUGGGCUGGACUCUAGGCACGACGGGUUUGGGUUUGGACUGGACUCUAGGCACGGCCAGGAAGGAUCAUACAAAUCGUAUGCACACAGUCGUCGUGUGUGAAGCAAUUCGGAGAGGUGAAACCCAUAAGAUCUCACGACCAACUCAUGGCUUUGGCACAUGGAUAACAAGCUUUCACGCAUCCCUGUUCAUAGCUAGUUCUUUGGUGAUACUUCAAUCCUUUAGGUCUCUCUUAAGAGACUCCUCCCAUAUCAAAUUCGGUUUACCUAUGCCAAAAUAUAAUGUAUUAAAAAAAUUACAAGUCAAUUUUUCUAUGUUUGGCCAUGUGUAGAAAAAAAUAUCAACAUAUAAAAUACCAAAUAAAUAGAAUAUGAAGAAAUAUUACAUAAUGGAUCUAAUGAUACUAAUUUGGUAUUGUAUGUACUACUAUUUUUUCUAUAAACAUUUUUUAAAUGGCCUAUAAACAUUAUCAAUGUACUCCCUCUUCCGCGUUUUUCAAGACUCGCCUUUGACUAUUGAUAAGAUUAAUAGUACAUGGGAUAUAUCAUUGGAAGCUACUUUCACAUAUGAAUUUGACGGUAUGCUUUGUGUAACUUGCAUGCCAUAUAUUAUUGCUCUAACAUUUGGUCAAAAUUAGCUUCGAAAAAUGCAUUAGGCCCUAUAUACAUGGAAGAAGGGAGUAGAAACAUUUUACUUUUGAAAAUGGUUUGCCUUGUAUUUUGGAACAUAGGGAAUAUGUGCUCAUGGGCCCUCCAAGAAUUACAACAUUGUUGUAUCAUUGUGUUGGUAGACUCAAAUCAUACAAGGUAGAAUUCCAUGAUAUACAAUGUGAGUUUUUUCUUCUUCUAAAUUUAAGCUUUGUCGAGAACCAACAAUUUUGCUUGCACGAUGAGAAAGGUUGUGCCUCUAGCUCACCAUGGAUCAACUAUAGGCAUGUACCAUAUUAAUGCCAUUAUUCUUUAUGUGGAAGACACAUUCUUGUCAGUAACAAUGCACAUGUGCUUUUUGAAGAUCUCAUCAAUCUUGAAACUUUGCGACUCCAUUUUUCAGUAGAAUUUGUAUGUGCGCGCGAGAGAGUGAGCGUCUACAUUCUACUUGGUGUUUCUUAAAAGAAACUCUUAAUUGUUGAUGGUUGACAUUAUCGGCAAGUACAAAUGGACAACCACAUUGAUCGACAAGACCUCAGACUGAUUGUGUGCGUUCAUAUGAAUAAGUCCUUGUGUAUUUGUCCGAGAGACUUUUACUUGUUGGAGAGGCAUUGCCGUAGUUAAUGAAGUCACUUAGACUCCGCAUUCUUCUCCUUGAGCCAAUUUCACGAGCUUGCCCCAGAUAUUCUUGGUGGAUCUUGGAAGUGAUCCAUGGUCCUUCUGAAGGAAAUAUGCCCUAAAGGCAAUAAUAAAGUUGUUAUUUUAUAUUUCCUUAUUCAUAAUAAAAGUUUAUUAUUCAUGCUAGAAUUGUAUUAAUCGGAAACCUAAAUAAGUGUGUGAAUACAUAAACAAAUACCGUGUCCCUAGUAAGCCUCUACUAGACUAGCUCGUUGAUCAAAGAUGGUUAAGGUUUCCUAACCAUAGACAUGUGUUGUCAUUUAAUAACGGGAUCACAUCAUUAGGAGAAUGAUGUGAUGGACAAGACCCAUCCGUUAGCUUAGCAUAAUGAUCAUUCAGUUUUAUUGCUAUUGCUUUCUUCAUGUCAAAUACAUAUUUUUUUAACUAUGAGAUUAUGCAACUCCCGGAUUCCGGAGGAAUACCUUGUGUGCUAUCAAACGUCACAACGUAACUGGGUGAUCAUAAAGAUGCUCUGCAGGUAUCUCCGAAGGUGUUUGUUGAGUUGGCAUAGAUCGAGAUUAGGAUUUGUCACUCCGAGUAUCAGAAAGAUAUCUCUGGGCCCUCUCAGUAAUACACAUCAUAAGCUUGCAAGCAAAUGACUAAGGAGUUAGUCAUGAGGUGAUGUAUUAUGGAACGAGUAAAGAGACUUGCCGGUAACAAGAUUGAACUAGGUAUAUAGAUGCCGACGAUCGAAUCUCGGGCAAAUAACAUACCGAUAGACAAAGGGAAUUACGUAUGUUGUCAUAACGGUUUGACCGAUAAAGAUCUUCAUAGAAUAUGUAGGAGCCAAUAUGGGCAUCCAGGUUCAGCUAUUGGUUAUUGACCGGAGAGGUGUCUCGGUCAUGUCUACAUAGUUCUCGAACCCGUAGGGUCCGCACGCUUAACGUUCGAUGACGAUAUAGUAUUAUAUGAGUUAUGUGAUUUGGUGACCGACUGUUGUUCGGAGUCCCUGAUGAGAUCACAGACAUGGUGAGAAGUCUCGAAAUGGUCGAUGUAAAGAUUGAUAUAUAGGACGAGGGUAUUCGGACAUCGGAAGUUUUUCGGGGGGUACCGGGUACUUAUCGGGUCACAGGAAGGGGUUCCGGGCACCCCCGGCAAAAGAUAUGGGCCUUAUGGGCCAAGAGCGGAAACACACUAGCCACAAGGGGCUGGUGCGCCCCCCAUAUGGGCCGGACUAGGAGGAGAAGGAAAGAGGGGAAGGGAAAGGAAAGAGUGGAAUAGGAUUCCCCCUUCCUUCCCUCUCCCCCUCUUUCCUUCCCCCUCCGACAAACAUGGCAGGGGGGGCGCCAAGGGCAGGAGCCCAAGUAGGAUUCGAACCUACUUGGGGCUCCCCUUGGCCUCUCCCCUCUCCCUCCCACCUAUAUAUAUGAGAAGGGGGCGCCUAGCACACCCAAGACAAUUGCAUAGCCGUGUGCGGCGCCCCCUCCACUGUUUACACCCCCGGUCAAUAUUUUUGUAGUGCUUAGGCGAAGCCCUGCGGAGAUCACUUCACCAUCACCGUCACCAUGCCGUCGUGCUGACGGAAGUCAUCUACUACCGCGACGUCUUGCUGGAUCAAGAAGGCGAGGGACGUCACCAAGUUGAACGUGUGCAAAACACGGAGGUGCAGUGCGUUCGGUACUUGAUCGGUUGAAGCGCGAAGAAGUUCGACUACAUCAACCGCGUUGUGAAAGGCUUCCGCUUACGGUAUACGAGGUACGUAGACACACUCUCCCCCUCAUUGUUAUGCAUCUCCAUGGAUAGAUCAUUGCGUGUGCGUAGAUUUUUUUUGUUUUCCAUGCAACGAUUCCCAACAGUGGCAUCAUGAGCCAGGUCUAUGUGUAGAUGAUAUGCAUGAGUAGAACACAAAGAGUUGGGCGGUGAUAGUCAUACAACUCACCACCAACGUCUUAUUUUGGUUCGGCGGUAUUGUGGGAUGAAGCGGCCCGGACCAACCUUACAUGUCCACUCACAUGAGACCGGUUCCACCUCUAACAUGCAACUAGUUUUGCAUAAAGGUGGCUGGUGGGUGUUUGUUUCUCCUACUUUAGUUGAAUCGAAUUUGACUACGGCCGGUCCUUGAAGAAGGUUAAAACAAAAAACUUGAUGAAUCACCGUAGUGGUUUUUGCCGUAGGUAAGAAUGGUUCUUGCUAGAAAGCCAUAGCAGCCACGUAAAACUUGCAACAAAAAA
rnacentral:lncRNA from 1 species